GGCCGGGCUCCGUGCGUCCGGAAGGUCCCGGCGGGUUGCCCGGCCCCGAGACGAGGCCCCAGCACUUCCCCGCCCCCACCCCGCGUGCCCUUUUCUCCCCCGGGUUCCCGCUCGGUUGCAGCGCCCACAUCAAAACCGGGAACACGUCUGCUUUGUGACGGGCUUGGAGUCACCCCUGCAGAUCCCUGCUCGCUCUGGGUGGGGGAGAGCAGAUGAUCGGGCUUGGAAUCCCGCCUCAGUCCUUACAUGACUCCGUGAAGCUGCGGUGAGCCUCAGUUUUCUCUCCUGUAGAGCGGAGACGCCUGUCCCUUCUCGGGCAGGGCGGGGGCCAGAUGGAAGCUAGAAAACUUGGGUCACAAGCUUGUGGUGUGGAGCUCACUGGUUGGGGCACCAGGACAGGACUAAGUUGCAGGUGACAAACUUGAGGAAAGAGAAUGCACAGCCACCAGUUUCUCAAGGUCCAGAUCAUGCGAAGUCAGCCUUGGGAGACGCCGUUUCUGCUUCCAUUCUCCGCUCCAGCUGGUGGGAGUGCUGAACGCCUGGCAGAUAGUUCUGCAGAAGACAAAGCAAGCUGGGUGCCAAUCCACUGCCCCAGCCCAGGUGUGGGCCGGGGCUGCCCAGUCUUAUCGGGAAGUAAGUCGGGGUGGAAACUCAGGGACCUAGUGCUCUACAGGCUCAAAUACAGAGAUGGUGUUCUGAAUAUAUGAUUUACAUCUUAUCUAUUUCAUUUCAUUUUUGAAACAGCCCCGAUGAGGUGUGUGUUACUUUUAGUUUUCCAGAUGAAAAAAAUGCAGUUCAAAAAAAUUGUCUACCUAAGGUCACCCAGCUAGUCAUUUCCUGCAACAUGAUAGACCCUCAGAUACGUGUUGAAUGAGGGAAAGCCAGGAUGGAGAUACUUGAUUUGGUCUGAAUCCUAAGCCCACACCUGUCACACCGCAGCACACUGCCGAGUGAGGUGCAGUCUGGGAAAGUGCUGGACCUUUUUUUCAGUCUCUCCCCUUUUUUCUAGUAACUUUCUCUCAAUUGCCAACUCACCUAAGGCUCCAAGUUCCCGCAGAAUUGAAGAGAAAACUCCUCUUACACUGUAAAAUUCCAGCCUCUCAGCUGUGUUCAGGGAUAGACUCCUAAUAAUGAACACACAUUUUCUGAUAGUUUCUAUUUUUUCGCCAGCUUUCCUAAGAUAUGAUUGACAAAUAAAAAUUGUAUAUAUUUAGUA